UAAGUCUUAAGUUAUACAAACUAAAGGCCUUCAAAGCCUUAUAAGAGGCCCAUCAGACUU
rnacentral:tRNA from 1 species